rnacentral:rRNA from 1 species
AGUGAACGCUGGCGGUAGGCCUAACACAUGCAAGUCGAACGGCAGCACAGUAAGAGCUUGCUCUUACGGGUGGCGAGUGGCGGACGGGUGAGGAAUACAUCGGAAUCUACUUUUUCGUGGGGGAUAACGUAGGGAAACUUACGCUAAUACCGCAUACGACCUACGGGUGAAAGCAGGGGAUCUUCGGACCUUGCGCGAUUGAGUGAGCCGAUGUCGGAUUAGCUAGUUGGCGGGGUAAAGGCCCACCAAGGCGACGAUCCGUAGCUGGUCUGAGAGGAUGAUCAGCCACACUGGAACUGAGACACGGUCCAGACUCCUACGGGAGGCAGCAGUGGGGAAUAUUGGACAAUGGGCGCAAGCCUGAUCCAGCCAUACCGCGUGGGUGAAGAAGGCCUUCGGGUUGUAAAGCCCUUUUGUUGGGAAAGAAAAGCAGCAGGUUAAUACCCCGCUGUUCCGACGGUACCCAAAGAAUAAGCACCGGCUAACUUCGUG